UGUACUUAGAAUUUAUGCUGCAUUAAAUGCAAUUCCACAUCUGCAUUGUCUGCAUGUUAUAAAGCUUCAGUAUUUCUCUGACCCUCAUUUCAUCCACAGAGCUGCAGACCGGCACUCCAUCAUGGUCCGAGACUGAGACAUUGAGACUUCAGCUUAGGUUCUAACUCUCCAUCAGUUCAGAGGCUCACCGGCCAGAUGAUGAGUGACUUCAUUUUCGCACCCACACGAAUCCUUGCCCCUCUGGGUCAGUAAUUUGCACAUCUAGAAGCCACUGGAAACUAUUGGUCAUUGGGAACCUGCUGCUGAGUAGAUGGAGCUUACCCUCAGAGGCAUCUUUAUUAUGACAGCAACAAGUCGGUGUAAGAACAUAGGCACGAUCACAUUGAGCUGCAGCUUGACGGCCACCCACAACUGUAUUUCUCAGGCACAGGAUGAUAUCCUCCAAGGGUCUGUUCCAGAAUGCAGGAUUAGUGGGAAAAUGAAUUGGGAUUCACAGAAAUCAGCGGCAGACCACGACAGGUGGUGGACAUCGCCCAUCCGGAUGAUCAUCCACUUCCUGCAACACUACAUGAAGCAGGCACAUGUUCAGGGGACAUGCAAAAACUGAGCUGCUGUGAAGCCUCAUCUCCUCCCGAGAUAUAACAAGGAAUUAUGUUUGAAAAGAACCAUCAAUUUGCUCUCAAUACACAACAAGCCCUCUUUGAAUCUGG